UACGUAGGGUGCGAGCGUUAAUCGGAAUUACUGGGCGUAAAGCGUGCGCAGGCGGUUCGUUGUGUCGGCGGUGAAAGCCCCGGGCUCAACCUGGGAAUGGCCGUUGAAACUGGCGAACUGGAGUGUGGCAGAGGGGGGUGGAAUUCCGCGUGUAGCAGUGAAAUGCGUAGAGAUGCGGAGGAACACCGAUGGCGAAGGCAGCCCCCUGGGCUAACACUGACGCUCAUGCACGAAGGCGUGGGGAGCAAACAGG
rnacentral:rRNA from 1 species